GAAAACACUAGGGAGAGGUUCAACCAAUUUUGACCACAAGGAUUUUAGAUAUCAGGUAAAAAGAAUUCAAGAUUAUUAAUCUGUUUGAACUUUUUUCAUAGGCACUGCAGAAUCAGAAGACCAGUGGUAAAAUCAUGGUAUAUAUGGAUGAAAUGGAUUGGUUUGGACAAAUUUUAUCAGGCAUUGCAUGAGUAAAAGUUCAUUUCCUUCUAAGCUUCAGCAGUAACACUCUUAGAAGACGGGAUAAUAUAUACUCUUCCCAGUCAAGCAUCAAAACCUCUUCAUUAGUUUUAAUUUUUCACAUCUCAUGUACCACAAGCCAACUUAGCAAGUAAAAAGCAUCAUAGAUCUACAAAGCUUCUUGGUUAU
rnacentral:lncRNA from 1 species